rnacentral:lncRNA from 1 species
AAACAAACAACUCCUAUAUAUUUUGUGUAACUUUAUACACAAUCCCCCUUAACAUAUACAUACACUUACCCACAUAAAAAAAAUAUAUAUUUUUUUUGUUCUCAUUUCACAUCAUAUUUUAACUCACUUAAUUUUAACACGAACAGAUCACAUGUUGGGGGUAUUGGAAGCCAUUUUUAGCCCAGAAACAUGUAAUGAUUUUUAUUUUUUUCAACACUCGGGCGUUUGGGUAUGAUCUCUCUUAGGGUCUAGACAAUAGUUAUAAACCAGAGAA